GGUGGGAGUAGGCAUGCAAUUUAUUAGAUAACAUGCAGUCUCAAAUGCAUCUGCCCAAUAUUGAGGAGGGACAGAGGCAUGAGACAUCAAGGCAAGCCCAGUCUCAACGAUGUGACGGUGCUUACGUUCUAGGAAUUCAAUUUGUUGAUG